GUCUUUAUGAGUAUGUUAUAAAGUCGGGCCUGCUCAAUGAUUAAUUUAAAUUGCCGCAGUAUUUUAACUGUGCAAAGGUAGCAUAAUCAUUUGUUCUUUAAUUGGGGACUGGAAUGAAAGGUUUGACGAGAAAUUUUCUGUCUCAAGUUUUUAGUUGAAUUUUAUUUUUAAGUGAAAAAGCUUAAAUGUUGUUAAUAGACGAGAAGACCCUAUAGAGUUUUAUUUAAUUAAGUUAUAAUUUUGUUUAAUUGAAUUUUAUUGGGGUGAUAGAAAAAUUUAUUUAACUUUUUUUAUAUAUAAUAUUUAUUUAUAGAUUUAUGAUUAAUAAUUUAUUAUUAUAAGAUUAAAUUACCUUAGGGAUAACAGCGUAAUUUUUUAUUGAAGUUCUAAUUUGUUAAAAAGAUUGCGACCUCGAUGUUGGAUUAAAAUUUAUUUAAGGUGUAGAAGCUUUAAUAUUAGGUCUGUUCGACCUUUAAAAUUUUCUUUAAUAUUAGGUCUGUUCGACCUUUAAAAUUUUAAGGUGUAGAAGCUUUAAUAUUAGGUCUGUUCGACCUUUAAAAUUUUCUUUAAUAUUAGGUCUGUUCGACCUUUAAAAUUUU
rnacentral:rRNA from 1 species